CCUUACGACCAGGGCUACACACGUGCUACAAUGGCGCAUACAAAGAGAAGCGACCUCGCGAGAGCAAGCGGACCUCAUAAAGUGCGUCGUAGUCCGGAUUGGAGUCUGCAACUCGACUCCAUGAAGUCGGAAUCGCUAGUAAUCGUGGAUCAGAAUGCCACGGUGAAUACGUUCCCGGGCCUUGUACACACCGCCCGUCACACCAUGGGAGUGGGUUGCAAAAGAAGUAGGUAGCUUAACCUUCGGGAGGGCGCUUACCAC
rnacentral:misc_RNA from 1 species